rnacentral:rRNA from 1 species
UGCCCUACGGGGCGCAGCAGUAGGGAAUCUUCCACAAUGGGCGAAAGCCUGAUGGAGCAACGCCGCGUGGGUGAAGAAGGUCUUCGGAUCGUAAAACCCUGUUGUUAGAGAAGAAAGUGCGUGAGAGUAACUGUUCACGUUUCGACGGUAUCUAACCAGAAAGCCACGGCUAACUACGUGCCAGCAGCCGCGGUAAUACGUAGGUGGCAAGCGUUAUCCGGAUUUAUUGGGCGUAAAGGGAGCGCAGGCGGUCUUUUAAGUCU